GCAACUAAAGAAGGUUUUGAUUGGCUAACUUGGGAAAGGGGUGCUUCCCCUUCCAUCCUUCCUGUCAGGUGAUGGGCAGUGAUUGUACUUAAGAGUUUGGUUGCCCCAAACCUGCCAACUAAAAUGAGUGUGUCUGUGACCUGCAGAAUAGACCUGUGUUCCUACAGGAGCCAACCAGAUAUGUGUUCACAGGCUCCUUGAGCAGCCCUUACAACCUGGAAGACAUGUGGCCUCACACUCUUAACACGGGAAGACUGAGGCUGUGCUCCUCCCUGCAUCCCCUGGGCGUCCCUUCCUUCUGGCGAGACAUUAGAGGGAAUCUGUUGUGUUGAGUGACUCUCCCUUACAUGCACCUUGCAUGGGAAACCAAUAGUGCAUUUGUAUCCAGAUCUCUUCAUGGCAAGCAGGGCCCGAUGGCUUCAAUGCCCCCCCCCCCCAAAAGCUUCAGCCUCUUUGGCUUCUUGCAGUUGCCUGAGUGUCAUGAGGUUUUUCUGGCUUGGACACUACUUCAUCUUUUGAGAUCUGGUCUGGUUAGCAAAACCUGCUUGCCAGUGGCCCUCCCAGCCACGGUCAGAUGCUUUGAGAGUCUGGGAGACUGAGAACUGCGAAGAUGCUCUCAGGAAUCCCGACGUCAGUUGCUGUUUGUGCUGGUUAGAACUGUCUGCAGCCGAACGCGCUAGAUGCCUUUUUGCAUUUGAGUUUGUUUUGGUUUGGUUUUUGUCAUACUUUGAAAUGUAAGUCAGCCCUGAUGAUCCAAACACUUUUAUUUUAUUUUUCUUCUUUAAUAGGAACUUUCUGAAGAAAACGUGAUGUGUAAAACCUUUGAUAUUUAAGACAAUAAAGUUUUUAUC
rnacentral:lncRNA from 1 species